GAUGAGAACGUAGCGAAAUGCGAUAAGUAAUGUGAAUUGCAGAAUUCAGUGAAUCAUCGAAUCUUUGAACGCACAUUGCGCCCGCCAGUAUUCUGGCGGGCAUGCCUGUUCGAGCGUCAUUUCAACCAUCAAGCCCCCGGCUUGUGUUGGGGACCUGCGGCUGCCGCAGGCCCUGAAAACCAGUGGCGGGCUCGCUGUCACACCGAGCGUAGUAGAUUUUCAUCUCGCUCAGGGCGUNCUGCGGGUUCCGGCCGUAAAAAGCCUUAUUUACCCAAGGUUGACCUCGGAUCAGGUAGGAAGACCCGCUGAACUUAAGCAUAUCAAUAAGCGGAGGA
rnacentral:misc_RNA from 1 species